UUUAUGACUGAACGCCUCUAAGUCAGAAUCCCACCUAGACGCGUGGAUACCGAAGCGCUGCUUUUGUGGGCUGGUCUCGGAUAGCCGGUUGUUGCCGAUGCGGAGAGCCGUACGUGAAUGGGAGAAGGUUGCGGCUGGACAGGGGCCGCACCUCACCACGCGCGCACAGCAUGUUUGCCUGGGUGCGGUGCUAAAGGACCUGCAGACGACCUGAUUCUGGGUCGGGGUUUCGUGAGUAGCAGAGCAGCUCCCUCGCUGCGAUCUAUUGAAAGUCA
rnacentral:rRNA from 1 species